CCUUCGGUAGCUCAGUUGGUAGAGCGGAGGACUGUAGAUCCUUAGGUCGCUGGUUCGAUUCCGGCUCGAAGGA
rnacentral:tRNA from 1 species